rnacentral:tRNA from 2 species
UCGCGCAUGGUGGAUUCACAAUCCACUGCCUUGAUCCACUUGGCUACAUCCGC